AUGCAUCCGGUACCCGGUCACCACGUCCUCCGUCACGGUGUCGUACACCCAGCCGAUCUCUUUGCCCCAGCCGGUCUUCUUCUCGAACGCCGCGGCCGUCACGUUCACCGCCUCCACGAUGGUCGCCUCGUCGGCCACGAUGCCCUCAGCCGCCGCGGCGUAAGGCGACGGGUGCGACGCGCGCGGGAUGCUGUCCACGAAGGCGUCCGACUUGCCGUACGUCUUCUUGGGCAGAGGCAGGAAGCCGUGCUUGCCCUUGGCGGGCACCGGCGCGGCCUUGGCCUUGGCCAUGGUCAUCUCGAGGCCGGGCUUCUCGUACUUGGUCUUGGCGAAGAGCCCGGCGAGCCUGGGGAAGCAGGGCCCGCCGACGUUGAUCCUGGGCGGGUCGAAGCCGUAGACGGUGAUGCGGCGGAAGAGACAGCCGGUGCCGACGUAGAUGGGGCCCUGCAUGCCGUCGAGGGCACGGAGGGUGCCGUCGAAGAAGAUGCGGUUGUGGUUGGCGUAGAGGUCGGUGGGGUCGACGCCCUCGAAGCGCUGCGGGAACUGGACGAAGGCGACGGUGUCGCUGUCGCGUCCCACCAUGAAGCAGAUGCCGGCGCGGAGGGCCUGGGAGUUGUUGAUGUAAUGGUCGCAGUCGAGGUUGAGGAUGAAGGGGGAGUUGGAGAGCAGCGCGGAGGCGCGGGUGAGCGCGUUCAUGGCGCCGGCCUUCUUCUGGUGGUCGUGUCCGGGGCGCUUCUCACGGGACACGUACACCAGCAUGGGGAGACGCACAUCCACGCCGCUGAAGUCCAGUGGGUUGUCAGCGCUCGCCGGCGGGCCCGUCUGCCGGCGGUGGCUCGGGUGGUUCAGCAGCACCUGCAUCCAUUGCACACACACCAUUGUCAGCACUCCAUUCCUCUUGCAGUACAAUCACAACUUGAGCUUAGGUAG
rnacentral:rRNA from 1 species